rnacentral:rRNA from 1 species
ACCUACGGGGCGCAGCAGUUAGGAAUAUUGGUCAAUGGGAGAGAUCCUGAACCAGCCAAGCCGCGUGAGGGAAGACGGCCCUAUGGGUUGUAAACCUCUUUUGUCGGAGAACAAAACCCGGGACGUGUCCCGGACUGCGUGUAUCCGAAGAAAAAGCAUCGGCUAACUCCGUGCCAGCAGCCGCGGUAAUACGGAGGAUGCGAGCGUUAUCCGGAUUUAUUGGGUUUAAAGGGUGCGUAGGCGGUCCGUUAAGGCAGCGGUAAAAUUGCGUGGCUCAAACCCGUCAAGCCGUUGAAACUGGCAGA